AACGAACGUUGGCGGCGUGGAUGAGGCAUGCAAGUCGAACGUGAAAACCUUCGGGUGAGUAGCGUGGCGGACGGGCGAGUAACACGUAAUCAAGCUACCUGCUAGACGGGGAUAACUUCGGGAAACCGAUCGUAAGACCCGAUGGGCUCACGACACCGCAUGGUGAUGUGAGUAAAUGGACGGGACCCUCCGGGGCCGUCUGCUAGUGGAGGUGAUUGCGGCCCAUCAGCUUGUUGGUAGGGUAAUGGCCUACCAAGGCUACGACGGGUAGCCGGCCUAAGAGGGUGGCCGGUCGCACUGGGACUGAGACACUGCCCAGACUCCUACGGGAGGCUGCAGUCGAGAAUCUUCCGCAAUGGACGAAAGUCUGACGGAGCGACGCCGCGUGGAGGACGAAGGCC
rnacentral:rRNA from 1 species